GAUGAAGAACGCAGCGAAAUGCGAUAAGUAAUGUGAAUUGCAGAAUUCAGUGAAUCAUCGAAUCUUUGAACGCACCUUGCGCCCUUUGGCUAUUCCGAAGGGCAUGCCUGUUUGAGUAUCGUGAACACCUCAACUCUCAUGGUUUGCCAUGAUGAGCUUGGACUUGGGGGUUUUGCUGGCCUUCGGUCGGCUCCUCUCAAACGGAUCAGCUUUCCAGUGUUUGGUGGCGUCACGGGUGUGAUAACUAUCUACGCCUGUGGUUUUCUGCCAGAUAACCUUCAGCGAUGGAGGUUCGCUGGGGCUCAUAAAUGUCUCACUUCAGUGGAGACAGCUUUUUGGACGUUUGAUCUCAAAUCAGGUAGGACUACCCGCUGAACUUAAGCAUAUCAUAAGCGGAGA
rnacentral:misc_RNA from 1 species